rnacentral:rRNA from 1 species
AGAGCGAACGCUGGCGGCAGGCUUAACACAUGCAAGUCGAGCGGGCGUAGCAAUACGUCAGCGGCAGACGGGUGAGUAACGCGUGGGAACGUACCUUUUGGUUCGGAACAACACAGGGAAACUUGUGCUAAUACCGGAUAAGCCCUUACGGGGAAAGAUUUAUCGCCGAAAGAUCGGCCCGCGUCUGAUUAGCUAGUUGGUGAGGUAACGGCUCACCAAGGCGACGAUCAGUAGCUGGUCUGAGAGGAUGAUCAGCCACAUUGGGACUGAGACACGGCCCAAACUCCUACGGGAGGCAGCAGUGGGGAAUAUUGGACAAUGGGCGCAAGCCUGAUCCAGCCAUGCCGCGUGAGUGAUGAAGGCCCUAGGGUUGUAAAGCUCUUUUGUGCGGGAAGAUAAUGACGGUACCGCAAGAAUAAGCCCGGACUAACUCGCGCCAGCAGCCGC